CCCCUCUCAGGGUCGUAUCUGGAGAGUUUCCAGUACUCUACCAGUCUUGGCUUCAGAAGAGAGAGUCAAGCAGAGGCCUACCCAUUCCACUACUAGCUUGGCCAGUGGCUAGCAAUUGGAAGGCAAUCUGCUACAAAU